CUUUUAUUAAAAUUAUUUUUGUUUAUUUUUUUUUUCGUUGUUUUGUCAUUUUUUGUUCCGUUUUUGUGUCUGCGAGGUGACAAAGGGACAGCACAGAGGAGUCACCAUCGGCUUUUAUUGAACCCCAAAAAUAAAAAUGUCACCGUUGGGCCCCCCAAAUCCAUCCGGGACCCCCAAAUGUGGGACCCCCAAAUUUUGGGAUCCCCAAAUUCUGGGACCCCCAAACUUCUGGAUCCCCAAAUCUGGGACGCCCAAAUCUGGGACCUCCAAAUCUGGGACCCCCCAAAUCUUGGAACCCCAAAUUUGGAAUCCCCAAAUUCUGGGACCCACAAACUCUGGGACCCCCAAAUUCUGGGACCCACAAACUCUGGGAUCCCCAAACUCUGGCACCCCCCCAAAUUCUGGGACCCCCAAACGUUUGGAUCCCCAAAUUUUGGGAUCCCCAAAUUUUGGGGUCCCCCAGCAUUUAAGGGACCCCAAAUCUUUGGGAUCCCCAAACUCUGGGACCCCCAAAUUCUGGGACCCCCAAACUUUUGGAUCCUCCAAAUCGGGGAUCCCCCAAAUCUGGCACCCCCAAACUGUGGCACCCCCAAAUUCUGGAAUCCCCAAAUCUGAGACCCCUAAACUCUGGGACCCCCAAACUUUUGGAUCCCCCAAAUCUGGGAUCCCCAAAUUUUGGGGUCCCCCAGAUUUUGGGUUCCCCCAAAUUUUGGGAUCCCCAAAUUUUGGGGUCCCCCAUGUUUUGGGAUCCCCAAAUUUUGGGAUCCCCAGAUUUUGGGCUCCCCAAAUUUUGGGAUCCCCAAAUUUUGGGAUCCCCAGAUUUUGGGCUCCCCAAAUUUUGGGAUCCCCAAAUCUGGGAUCCCCAAAUUUUGGAAUCCCCAGAUUUUGGGGUCCCCCAGAUUUUGGGAUCCCCAGGUUUUGGGAUCCCCAAAUUUUGGGAUCCCCAAAUUUUGGGAUCCCCAGAUUUUGGGGUCCCCCCCGUUUUGGGGUCCCCUCAGCCGCGCUGGGGCCGCAGCUUCAUCUCGGUGAAUGGGAUGGAGACGUUGAAGCCUUUCCAUGGGAACCAAUGGAUGCCCUGUGGGAAAAUGGGGUGAGAGACCCCCGGGACCCCCGGGAUCGCCCCAUAGAGACCCCCGGGAUCGCCCCAUAGAGACCCCCGGGACCCCCGUGAUCGCCCCAUAGAGACC
rnacentral:lncRNA from 1 species